ACUGACUAAGGAGAGCUUCUGUCUCCACUUUAUAGUACCAUGUUCCUUUGCAGCUGUGUAUGGGCCAGUAAGAGACAUAAUUUUUCCGCUUGAUGUGUGAAGUAUGCUCAAUACAAGAAAGAAAGCAUUGCUAAAGAGUUCAGGUGUACAUCUGCUGCUGACUUUGUUACUGGGAGGAAAUUUGGGUUGAAAGCAAAGUUCUGUUCUCUGAAAAGACUUCGGCUAUUACCCAGCUGUGAGAAUUGAUUUAAGCUGUGUCCCAGUGCAAUGAUGAGAUGUUUAUUUCAAGAAGCUCACGCACGCGGCUCAGUGGAAAACCUGACAAAGACUUUCUGAAAGUGUCUCUGCUCUGGCUACUCUGAAGUCUUUAUUAACUUGGGUAUACUUAUCCCUUCUCAUUGCUUUUCCCCUAUCCACACUGAAAACAAGACAAAUAUAUUUGGAACUCUAUGAAUGAUCCUAAAGCAAAAAGACAUUUCUCUAUUUUUUCUUAAUGGUUGCACGUUCUCAGAGAACAGGAGACAAGAUAAAAACCAUAUGAACAGUAUUACUCAAUAUCCUGAUAGUUCAGUCUUAGAGACUCUUCUGUAAAAACAGAUACUUUUGUUUUUCCACAGUUAACCCUAUUCUAGCUUAUUAAAGAAAAUAUGUACAGCUGUUCAAGACAAAAGCAUACCCUUGUCUGAGGAGAUGUCAUCUGUAAACUUACAUACAGUGUAUUAAACAAGGAUUGUAAUGACAGAACUGUUUUAACUCUGGGGUUUAUGGCUAUUUUGUUACUAUUAC